ACACGUGGAUGACCUAUCCCUUGAGAUGGGGAUAAACCCGGGAAACUGGGUAUAAUACCCAAUAGAUCUCGACUGCUGGAAUGCAUCGAGAUCCAAAGCUCCGGCGCUCAAGGAUGGAUCUGCGGCCUAUCAGGUAGUAGUGGGUGUAGCGUACCUACUAGCCUACGACGGGUAUCGGGUUGUGAGAGGCAAGAUGCCCGGAGAUGGAUUCUGAGACACGAAUCCAGGCCCUAUCGGGGUGCAGCAGGCGCGAAAACUUUACAAUGCUGGAAACAGCGAUAAGGGGACCUCGAGUGCCAGGUUACAAAUCUGGCUGUCGUGAUGCCUAAAAAGCAUUGCAUAGCAAGGGCCGGGCAAGACCGGUGCCAGCCGCCGCGGUAACACCGGCGGCUCGAGUGGUAACCGUUAUUAUUGGGUCUAAAGGGUCUGUAGCCGGCCCGGAUAAGUCUCUUGGGAAAUCUGGCAGCUUAACUGUCAGGCUUUCAGGAGAUACUGUCUGGCUCGAGGCCGGGAGAGGUGAGAGGUACUUCAGGGGUAGGGGUGAAAUCUUGUAAUCCUUGAAGGACCACCAGUGGCGAAGGCGUCUCACCAGAACGGACCUGACGGCAAGGGACGAAAGCUAGGGGCACGAACCGGAUUAGAUACCCGGGUAGUCCUAGCCGUAAACGAUACUCGCUAGGUGCCGGCAACGGUGCGACCGUUGUUGGUGCC
rnacentral:rRNA from 1 species